AAGUCGUAACAAGGUUUCCGUAGGUGAACCUGCGGAAGGAUCAUUAACACGUAUCCAACGUUAAACCCCCCGUGAACCUUCAUUGUGCUCCCCCAUUCCGUUAGGACGCGGCAAUCCCUGGUAAAUCAUCGCCGAACAGUUUUGAUUCAGGGACCUCUGCAUGGAGUGGGCAGCAGCGCGAGGCAAGUGGCCUGGCAUUCGAAAGAAUGGCGCAGUAACGAUCGCUAGAGGCCGACACGGCCGGCGACCGGGUCACUGGGCUCACGCCCCCCUAUCACCUUUGCAUGAAAACGGGCCUGCGCUUAAUUGUGCGGCCACCAAACUCGAACAACUGUUAACAAUGGAUAUCUUGGUUAUC
rnacentral:misc_RNA from 1 species